AACGAACGCUGGCGGCAUGCCUAACACAUGCAAGUCGAACGAUGGUCUUCGGAUCAUAGUGGCGCACGGGUGCGUAACGCGUGGGAAUCUGCCCUUGGGUUCGGAAUAACAGUUGGAAACGACUGCUAAUACCGGAUGAUGUCGAUAAGACCAAAGAUUUAUCGCCCGAGGAUGAGCCCGCGUCGGAUUAGCUAGUUGGUGGGGUAAAGGCCUACCAAGGCGACGAUCCGUAGCUGGUCUGAGAGGAUGAUCAGCCACACUGGGACUGAGACACGGCCCAGACUCCUACGGGAGGCAGCAGUGGGGAAUAUUGGACAAUGGGCGCAAGCCUGAUCCAGCAAUGCCGCGUGAGUGAUGAAGGCCUUAGGGUUGUAAAGCUCUUUUACCCGGGAAGAUAAUGACUGUACCGGGAGAAUAAGCCCCGGCUAACUCCG
rnacentral:rRNA from 1 species